rnacentral:misc_RNA from 1 species
CUCAAUAACUAAAGUGUAAUAUAAAGCAAAACUCAUGGACUAAAUAAUUUAAUUUUCAAAAUUUAAGAACUAAUGUGUAAUAUUAAGAAAAAUUCAAGGGCUAAAUUGUAAUUUCGCUUAUUUUUUUUUCAAACCACCGAAAAUCUUCACCUCAUCAUCUCUGCUCUCAAACCCACCGCCACCGCAACUCUGUCCACGCUAGUGCUUCAUCUAGUCCAAUCCCAUACAAAAAACAGCUCUCUCCAUCGCAAUCCAUAAACAAUUCGUUCCUCAUUGUAGCUUCUCACCACUGCAAUAGUUCUUCAUCUCCAUCAGCGUCAAAAAACUGCUCCAGCUCUCUCCAUCACAAGCACCAAGAGACCCAGUUGGCGGCGUUCCACUCCAGCAACACCAAAUUCAGAGUUCCCCAGUGGAAGAGUAUUUCAGCAGCACUUGGUUUCAGUAGACCAGAGCCGUAGCACCUUCAAAUCUUUACCUCAGUUUCAUUUUGGUGGAUUUGAGUAACAAUUAAAAUUUGAAGUUGAAUCAAUGAAAGUUGUUAAGAUUGGAUGUCUUUGGGUGUUCUAAAUCUAUUUAUAAUUUUGGUUAAUUGGUCUUGAAAUUUUUGGGUGAAUGAAGAUUCUUCUAUUUGGGUAUGAGAUUUGAUAUAUGGUAGUUGAGCAAUCUGUUGUUUGGAGGAAAAUGUUUUUGCGAGUGCAGGUUACUAAAUCGACUGGAG